ensembl:lncRNA novel transcript
UACAGACGACGUGCGGCCCCAGGACUGCUACCACGGCGCGGGGGAGCAGUACCGCGGCACGGUCAGCAAGACCCGCAAGGGUGUCCAGUGCCAGCGCUGGUCCGCUGAGACGCCGCACAAGCUGCAGUGAGUCCCUGGUGCUCCCGGCCCCGCCAGGGCCCUAACCCUGGGGCGGCAUGCUUUGAUGUCUGGGACCAGAGCCUGGAAAUGGUUGAGACUACCCUGCCACGAUUUUGCUCCCGCUCCCGCCUCGGUUCACAUUUACCUCCGAACCGCAUGCACAACUGGAGGAGAACUUCUGCCAGACCCAGAUGGGGAUAGCCAUGGGCCCUGGUGCUACACGAUGGACCCAAGGACCCCAUUCGACUACUGUGCCCUGCGACGCUGCGCUGAUGACCAGCCGCCAUCAAUCCUGGACCCCCCCAGGUUACGAGUUGGGCCAGUUAUGGGUCAGGCCCUUUAGCCCACGACAUCCACACAGUCUGGGUUUCAUCCAGCCCACCCCAUCCUACAGACCAGGUGCAGUUUGAGAAGUGUGGCAAGAGGGUGGAUCGGCUGGAUCAGCGUCGUUCCAAGCUGCGCGUGGCUGGGGGCCAUCCGGGCAACUCACCCUGGACAGUCAGCUUGCGGAAUCGGUGAGGCACAACUGCCUGUCUCCCACAGAGAGGAGCUGAGGUUGUGUCCUCUGUGGUUAUGCCACUGGGGGCUGGGAAUCUAUCCCUGCCCCCAGAGGUCCUAGCCAGAAGAUGGCAGGUCUAGCAUCUGUCCCAGGAGUCUGUUCCCUGUCCUAAUUCCCCACUCCUCUAGGCAGGGCCAGCAUUUCUGCGCGGGGUCUCUAGUAAAGGAGCAGUGGAUACUGACUGCCCGGCAGUGCUUCUCCUCCUGGUGAGCCUCCCUUGUGUUUGGGGACCCAGUCUCAUCCCACUUUCCCCUUUCCCCAGGCAAGCUAACAAGUGAGCCUUGGGGCAACGGACUGAGAGUCACAAAUGACCUAGCAGAGCUUCUCUCCCAGCCAUAUGCCUCUCACGGGCUAUGAGGUAUGGUUGGGCACCCUGUUCCAGAACCCACAACAUGGAGAGCCAGGCCUACAGCGGGUCCCAGUAGCCAAGAUGCUGUGUGGGCCCUCAGGCUCCCAGCUUGUCCUGCUCAAGCUGGAGAGAUCUGUGACCCUGAACCAGCGUGUGGCCCUGAUCUGCCUGCCGCCUGAAUGGUAUGUGGUGCCUCCAGGGACCAAGUGUGAGAUUGCAGGCUGGGGUGAGACCAAAGGUACGGGUAAUGACACAGUCCUAAAUGUGGCCUUGCUGAACGUCAUCUCCAACCAGGAGUGUAACAUCAAGCACCGAGGACAUGUGCGGGAGAGCGAGAUGUGCACUGAGGGACUGUUGGCCCCUGUGGGGGCCUGUGAGGGUGACUACGGGGGCCCACUUGCCUGCUUUACCCACAACUGCUGGGUCCUGAAAGGAAUUAGAAUCCCCAACCGAGUAUGCACAAGGUCGCGCUGGCCAGCCGUCUUCACGCGUGUCUCUGUGUUUGUGGACUGGAUUCACAAGGUCAUGAGACUGGGUUAGGCCCAGCCUUGACGCCAUAUGCUUUGGGGAGGACAAAACUUGUAAGUACAGUCAAGGACAAGACUUGUACUCAAGGUUGAGAUUUAAUAAAAUUAAUAUUUUUA